CAAAUCUUGACAUCCUCUGACCCCUCUAGAGAUAGAGUAUUCCCCUUCGGGGGACAGAGUGACAGGUGGUGCAUGGUUGUCGUCAGCUCGUGUCGUGAGAUGUUGGGUUAAGUCCCGCAACGAGCGCAACCCUUAAGCUUAGUUGCCAUCAUUAAGUUGGGCACUCUAAGUUGACUGCCGGUGACAAACCGGAGGAAGGUGGGGAUGACGUCAAAUCAUCAUGCCCCUUAUGAUUUGGGCUACACACGUGCUACAAUGGACAAUACAAAGGGUAGCGAAACCGCGAGGUCGAGCAAAUCCCAUAAAGUUGUUCUCAGUUCGGAUUGUAGUCUGCAACUCGACUAUAUGAAGCUGGAAUCGCUAGUAAUCGUAGAUCAGCAUGCUACGGUGAAUACGUUCCC
rnacentral:rRNA from 1 species